AUGUCCAAGCUUUACAUCGAUACCGAUGCUGGAUCUGAUCAGCAUCCCGGAACAGAAGCUCAGCCAUUGGCUACUUUGGUUCAGGCUAUGCUUAUUUCGAAAAACUCGGGCGAGUUCUUGAUGAAGAAAAAGUCAGAGGAAGGGGAAUCGUGGGAACCAGCAGCGAAAGCUGCUAUCAAAAAGGCAGUGAAAAAAUACGAAGCUGAAGUGAAAAAGCUGGAGAAAGCUGGUUGUAGGGAGAAAGAAGCCGAAGAGGCUCAACAUGCUGCUCUCGAAGAAGCCAAGAAGAUUACAUUUUCUCUUGACAAGUCUCUUCCAGAAGCUAAGGUUAUCAAGAUUGGAGAAUCUGUGCAGCAUCGCGAUCAACGAGUCUCAAUCAAAGCCUUCUACAUGCCACGCUGUGCAGACGAUAACGAGUUGACCGAGUCCGUAGAUCUUUUGAUGCCAGGAGUUGGAGAAAUCGUUGGAGGAUCAAUGCGUAUCUGGAAGGAAGAUCAGUUGUUGGCUGCAUUUGAGAAAGGAGGACUUGACUCUAAAAACUAUUACUGGUACAUGGAUCAACGGAAAUACGGAAGUGUACCACAUGGUGGAUAUGGAUUGGGACUGGAGCGUUUCAUCUGCUGGUUGACCGACACCAACCACAUCCGCGACGUCUGUUUGUACCCGAGAUUUGUCGGCAGAUGUGCUCCGUAA
rnacentral:misc_RNA from 1 species